rnacentral:lncRNA from 1 species
GAGAUUUUAUCAUUAGUUAUGCCUCUAGAUUUGAUGUCUCAUGUUUUUUCUAAGUCAACUGCAAAUACUCAAUCGAACCUUUAUGCCUUAUGUGAAUUAUGGGACUUUGCAGGACAAAAAGAAUUUUAUGCUACACAUCAAGCAUUUUUAACUAGUAGUGCAGUUUACCUUGUAGUUGCAGAUAUGACUGACGACAUAAGCAAACAAGGCUUAAGUCAAUAUUUUGCCGAUUUUCAGCAUAUUGGAGGUAGGGUUUCGUAUAAAAAAUCAAAUUCAAUAAUAAAGUCUUUUUUAUAGAUUUAUAGUGACAUGUUAUACAUUUAUUAUGUUUUGGUUUCUCCUUCCUUAAUUAUAUAACGUAAUCUGAUAAACCAAUAUCAUUUUGUGAAAUAAAAAAAAACUCAAUUAAAUAAAACUGGUAUUGUAUAGAAAUUACCUGUAAAUUAUUAGCAUCACAAAUCCAUUAGAGAAUUUUCGCUGAAAUAGAGAUAUUAACCAGUCUUAUCUUAAAAAAAAGCACUAAAAAAUAAUCAGCAUCUUGUACUUAAACUUAUUGAAGAAAGAAAGGUAAAUAGAUUCAAGAUAUUUGAACAGUUGACUUGUUUGUGGUUUUGAUUUUAAACAACAACACAAUGGCAGGAUGUAUACGUUCCAAGCAAACCCAAACAUGAAUUAAAUAACAAAAAUUAACUAAAAGUAACUGUGACAAGUAUGAUUGAGGAUAACAUAUAUCAUUUUGAAAGGUUAUAAACAUUAAAAUAUGUUAGAUAUAUAUAAAUUCUAUAAGCACUUCGACAUGAGAAGUUUGUUAAUAUACAAAACUGUCAACGUCAUAUUUGAUACUGUCAUAAUUUUAUUUAAAUGAAUUUUGUAGUAGGCUAUACCAAAGGAGUUUUCAAUGAUUUCAAUGCUAUCUGGGUUAUACGACAAAAACACAAACACAAACAAUUAUUACAUUGUUGGGCAACUUCCUUCUUUGUUCCAAUUUCUAAAUAUCUCUAAUAGUAGGUUUGAUUAUUGCCUAUUCUAAUAACUCGUCUUAAAUUGAAUCGUUUGAAAACUUACAUUUGUGAACUUAUAAAGGAACUUUUUCUACUAAAUAUCGCUUACAAAUUGUUAUGUUUUACAGUAUUUCGAUAUCAUGAACUACAUAUAUCUUAAUUAUGUCAUUUGAUGGCGUUCAUCCCUGGAAGUAGUAGAGAUUCCGUCAUAUAUUAAAGGCACUGCUCUUAUCUUAAGCAAAGUAUUAUUUACAAAGACCUUUAAAAUCGUAAUCAUGAAAAUUUGCCCCUGAAUAAUUUCAAGUUAAACUAAAUGAUAGAAAUCAUAUAUCGUCAAUAAUAACGUGGUUCUUUGUAUACCCGUCUCUUCAUUGAUAUAAGUUAACGUUUUGAAUAUGUUUUUCUUUACCUAUCAUACAGUCGAUUUGCGGUGUCUUUAUUCAUGUAAUUAUGUCCGUUUUAAUUCCAGAGGUUUUCGCAUUACCAUACCAACACAAUAAAUAUUUCAAAACCAAUAAUUGAGCAAUGGCGUUAAAACAUACAUGUAAACUCCUCCUCGACCGAUACAUCAUUUUAACCAACGCGAAUAUAUCCUAUAGAGCCACUGGGGUCUGCUUGUCUGACACUGACACAACUAUCUUAAAAGUUAUAAAGCAAUGCUAAAAAUUAAGUAAGUCAUAUUAUGGUAUUUGAAAAGCCUUCGUUAUCUUGCUUCUGAUAUCAUUAUUUAAUUUUUUGGUUCGCAUGGUAAUUUGUUUUCUGAUCAAUUAAAUAAUCCUUCUAUUAUGAGAAAGAAGAUAUUUGUACAAGAUUGGGCAAAAAUUUGUGAUCAUGGUCCCUUUCCUAUUUUGUGAGUUUGGGUAGACAAUCAAGAAGGGGUCUGGAGACUUCUCAUUUUUUGAAAUGAUUAACACCAUCUUAUCAUCUUAAAUACCACUUGAGGGAGCGAGAUAAAAAAAGAGAAAUAAACAUGCAAUAAAACAAUCAAAAUCGUCAAAUGUGUUCUUAAUAUAUUAUUUAGUUACAAGAAAAGGUAAGGACAUGGAUGAUAUCUUCAAUAUCAGAUUAAAUAUUAAAAAGGUUCAUAGUUAAGCUUGUAACAAUUGCCUUAUAAACAAUGCUAAUAUGUUUCAGAAUAUGUUGAUUUUUGGUUUGAUUCUAUACAUUGUCAUCGAACGGCCGACGAACGAGACAGCUAUGGGCACUUCGAUCCUCCGAUUUUAUUAGUUUUCACUGGAAAGGAUAAAUAUGAAAAGGUAAUUAAAUUGUAGCAAAUGUAGAACAUUGCUUCUCAUUAUAUAUCUGCUUUUAAUCUCGCAUGGCAUAAAGCCUUGGAAGCUUUUCCCAACACUAGGCGUCUCCGUCUAUCAUUCAUCAUAAAUUUUCUUAUGUAUAUAUAGGGAUGUCUAUUUGGUGAAAAUUGUGAUUGUGUGCAGGUAAAUACUUCUUACAGUUCACACAUACACUAAUAUAUCAUUAUACACUGCAAAAUAUUUGCCCAAUCGGUACUGAAUUAAACGCAGUUUAUAAGUCAAAGAGACUGAACAUGACACAUAAUGAAGCAAAUCAAGUUACAUGACGUAAUUUUUAGAUAUUAUAAACCAUGGUAAGGACAGUACUGCCCGAAAAAAUCUGGUAUCCAUGUUGAACUUAAUGCAAUGCUUUCCUGUCGGUAUUAAGACGACCAAGGGAUGACCAUGUUUGCGUAUCCGUGUCAACGUUAUGGGUUGGUCUAACGGUGGCGGUUUAUGAUACCUAUAUCAACGGAGAUUAAUCAACAAGAAACAUGUCACAAUGCGUCUUUUAACAAUGACCAUAAUGCAUACCGCAUAGACAACUAAAAAAUAUAUAAAUGUUCUUUUAAAAGGGUUAUGAGAGUGAUUGAUACAUUUGAGUAAAGAAAUUUAUUUUUGUGGUUCGAUAAGUUUUAAAAUCUUUUAAUAAACUUGAAUAGUCGUUACGCUGUGCACAUACUAAUUGUUGAUUCCCUUUGUUUCGUUUGUAGGCGGAUUUUGAAAAGCGAGAAAAGGAACUUAA